GACGUUAGCAACAGAAGAAGCACCGGCUAACUCCGUGCCAGCAGCCGCGGUAAUACGGAGGGUGCGAGCGUUAAUCGGAAUUACGUGGGACGUAAAAGCGCAUGCAGGUUGGUUUGUUAAGUCAGAUGUAGAAAAGCCCGGGCUCAAACCUCGGAAACUGCAUUUGAAAAACUGGCAGACUAGAGUACUGUAGGAGGGGGUAGAAUUUCAGGUGUAGCGGUGAAAAUGCGUAGAGAUCUGAAGGAAUACCGGUGGCGAAGGCCGGCCCCUGGACAGAUACUGACACUCAGAUGACGAAAGCGUGGGGAGCAAACAGGAUUAGAUACCCUGGUAG
rnacentral:rRNA from 1 species